CCUACGGGGGGCAGCAGUGAGGAAUAUUGGUCAAUGGGCGCAAGCCUGAACCAGCCAAGUCGCGUGAGGGAAGACGGUCCUAUGGAUUGUAAACCUCUUUUGUCGGGGAGCAAAAGACGCCACGCGUGGCGUUCCGAGAGUACCCGAAGAAAAAGCAUCGGCUAACUCCGUGCCAGCAGCCGCGGUAAUACGGAGGAUGCGAGCGUUAUCCGGUUUUAUUGGGUUUAAAGGGUGCGUAGGCGGAAGAUCAAGUCAGCGGUAAAAUUGAGGGGCUCAACCGCGGCGAGCCGUUGAAACUGGGGUUCUUGAGUGGGUGAGAAGUAUGCGGAAUGCGUGGUGUAGCGGUGAAAUGCAUAGAUAUCACGCAGAACUCCGAUUGCGAAGGCAGCAUACCGGCGCUCAACUGACGCUGAUGCACGAAAGUGUGGGUAUCGAACAGGAUUAGAUACCCUAGUAGUC
rnacentral:rRNA from 1 species